rnacentral:rRNA from 1 species
GAUGAACGCUGGCGGCGUGCCUAAUACAUGCAAGUCGAGCGAACGGACGAGAAGCUUGCUUCUCUGAUGUUAGCGGCGGACGGGUGAGUAACACGUGGAUAACCUACCUAUAAGACUGGGAUAACUUCGGGAAACCGGAGCUAAUACCGGAUAAUAUUUUGAACCGCAUGGUUCAAAAGUGAAUGACGGUCUUGCUGUCACUUAUAGAUGGAUCCGCGCUGCAUUAGCUAGUUGGUAAGGUAACGGCUUACCAAGGCAACGAUGCAUAGCCGACCUGAGAGGGUGAUCGGCCACACUGGAACUGAGACACGGUCCAGACUCCUACGGGAGGCAGCAGUAGGGAAUCUUCCGCAAUGGGCGAAAGCCUGACGGAGCAACGCCGCGUGAGUGAUGAAGGUCUUCGGAUCGUAAAACUCUGUUAUUAGGGAAGAACAUAUGUGUAAGUAACUGUGCACAUCUUGACGGUACCUAAUCAGAAAGCCACGGCUAACUACGUGCCAGCAGCCGCGGUAAUACGUAGGUGGCAAGCGUUAUCCGGAAUUAUUGGGCGUAAAGCGCGCGUAGGCGGUUUUUUAAGUCUGAUGUGAAAGCCCACGGCUCAACCGUGGAGGGUCAUUGGAAACUGGAAAACUUGAGUGCAGAAGAGGAAAGUGGAAUUCCAUGUGUAGCGGUGAAAUGCGCAGAGAUAUGGAGGAACACCAGUGGCGAAGGCGACUUUCUGGUCUGUAACUGACGCUGAUGUGCGAAAGCGUGGGGAUCAAACAGGAUUAGAUACCCUGGUAGUCCACGCCGUAAACGAUGAGUGCUAAGUGUUAGGGGGUUUCCGCCCCUUAGUGCUGCAGCUAACGCAUUAAGCACUCCGCCUGGGGAGUACGACCGCAAGGUUGAAACUCAAAGGAAUUGACGGGGACCCGCACAAGCGGUGGAGCAUGUGGUUUAAUUCGAAGCAACGCGAAGAACCUUACCAAAUCUUGACAUCCUUUGACAACUCUAGAGAUAGAGCCUUCCCCUUCGGGGGGGCAAAGUGACAGGUGGUGCAUGGUUGUCGUCAGCUCGUGUCGUGAGAUGCUGGGUUAAGUCCCGCAACGAGCGCAACCCUUAAGCUUAGUUGCCAUCAUUAAGUUGGGCACUCUAAGUUGACUGCCGGUGACAAACCGGAGGAAGGUGGGGAUGACGUCAAAUCAUCAUGCCCCUUAUGAUUUGGGCUACACACGUGCUACAAUGGACAAUACAAAGGGCAGCGAAACCGCGAGGUCAAGCAAAUCCCAUAAAGUUGUUCUCAGUUCGGAUUGUAGUCUGCAACUCGACUACAUGAAGCUGGAAUCGCUAGUAAUCGUAGAUCAGCAUGCUACGGUGAAUACGUUCCCGGGUCU